UACGUAGGGUGCGAGCGUUAAUCGGAAUUACUGGGCGUAAAGCGUGCGCAGGCGGUCUGUUAAGACCGAUGUGAAAUCCCCGGGCUUGACCUGGGAACUGCAUUGGUGACUGGCAGGCUUUGAGUGUGGCAGAGGGGGGUAGAAUUCCACGUGUAGCAGUGAAAUGCGUAGAGAUGUGGAGGAAUACCGAUGGCGAAGGCAGCCCCCUGGGCCAACACUGACGCUCAUGCACGAAAGCGUGGGGAGCAAACAGG
rnacentral:rRNA from 1 species